CACGUAGGGGACGAGCGUUGUCCGGAUUCAUUGGGCGUAAAGCGCGCGUAGGCGGCUCGGAAAGUCGGUCGUGAAAUGCCGGGGCUCAACCCCGGGACUGCGUCCGAUACUCUCGAGCUGGAGGCAGGUAGGGGAGAUCGGAAUUCCUGGUGUAGCGGUGAAAUGCGUAGAUAUCAAGAGGAACACCGGUGGCGAAGGCGGUUCUCUGGGCAUUACCUGACGCUGAGGAGCGAAAGUGUGGGGAGCGAACAGG
rnacentral:rRNA from 1 species